CUGAAUUUUAAAAGGUACAAUUCCUUAUGCGAUUUGUACAAUGAAUUUAUACGCUGAAAUCUUAUCUGAUCAGCAGCGACUCGGUCCCUUUAAUCCCAGAUCUGUGGUUAUCUAAACAAACUGAUUCUACGGCUUCCCUUGUAUAUCAAUUCCUUUCUCCCUUUUUUUUUUCUGGCUCUCUAGCUCUUUUCUAUUUAAAAUUUAGUAAUAUUUGGUCUUUGUAAAAUAUUCCCCCUUCUCUCAACCAUCUCUCCUUCUCUCUAACCCUAAUUAGCCGCCAGUCACACCAUCUGAUGAUGUUGUUUGUUUUUUCUAAGGCUAUAGUGGCUCACGCUUUUUCAAUCUCAUAUUCCAUAACUUUCUUUUACUCUAUCGAUUGCAGGUAUUCCAAGAAGUCGAUUCAUAGAGACGGUGAAGAAGAAUUGGAUUUGUAUGAGGCUUCUUAACUCUAUUGUCAUCUCUAUUGCUUGCUUCGAUUCACCAUAGUGAUCUGUUUCUUGGGGGUUCGGAUGUAAAUCUCCAUUGGUGAUCUGUUUCUUGGGUUUUCCUCUCAAUAUGUUAAAAGAAAUAGACCAGGUUUGUGUUAUGUUCUUUUCCACUGUAUAAAAUACAUAAAAACCCCAUUGUGUGUGUUUUUUUGAAGAUUUUACUUUAACGUGAAGACCCUGUCUGCUCCAUCAUCACUUUAAUUGCAGGUAAACCAUCAUCUACCCAUAUCACUUCAUUUAGACAAACUUUGGUCUAAAAUUUGAUACCUUCGUUUGUAUAAAGAAUGUAAUAUACAUAUCUUGUUUUUUUUUCUUGAUUAUAAACACUUGUAAUCUUUGUUAUAUGGUAAGUGAAAUAAUAAAACACUGUAAAAAAUGGUGAAAAGGACAAGAAUGUGGAGAUGGUUUAUCUUUGUUGCUAAUUACCUUUUAUGUUUUUUCAAAUACUCUCCAUUUUGCUACUUUUCAAAUACUCUCUAAUACUCGGUUCUUUACUGACCCUUUGGUAAUCCUUGGUCUCUCUCUCUCUCUCUCUCUCUCUCUCUCUCUCUCUCUCGUGUUAGGUCACACGUCACAUAUCCAUAAUUUUGGUUUUUUUGUUUUCUCUUAAUAAGGUUUUCAUUUUCUUUUGUAGGUUAACAUGAAUGAAAAGUAUUAUCUAUUGGAAUAGACAAAAAAAAAGGUACUACGGUUGAGUAUUAAUAUUUUUUGUGGAAUCUGUGUAUUUUUAUGUAUGAACAUGUGUGUUUAUAUGUUCAAUCUUAGGCUUGAGUUAUGAAACUAGGAUAAGAUAAAAAGUAAUUGCAUCAUCUGGCGAUGACUUGAUCAGGUGCUAUGUGACUGACUGAUCAAUCAAAUAACGUUUGAGAGAUUAAUGCCUUAGUUGUUGGCUUCCAGCUAUUGUUGUUGCUAAUUGCUGAUGGUUUAUUAUGAGCUGAUGUUGGUAAUUGUUGAUUAUUUCAGUUGCACUUGACACUUUUGUUUUGUGAAUUGUGUCUUAUAGGGCUAACAACAUAAGGAAAUAAGAACUUUUGAUUCAAAUGGAUGUUGAUGAUCUUGAGGAGUAUGCUCAAAUUCCACCGGGGUAUGCAAUAUGAACCCAUUUCCAUUUUUUGAAUCUUAUUUCUAUUUUCACGUUGGAUUUAACCAUUAUAGGCAUCCACCUAUGAUAUUGAAGAUGAAUUAUGGGAUCAUAUAGACAUAGCAUCUCAUUUGUAUUUCACAAUUAGGUUGUCAAUUUGUGUAAUUUUCUUAACAAUUACGUCCUUUUUUGUUAUUGUUGCUAAUUAUUGAUUUUUUAGAUGCAACAAAGGUUUGUUUUCCCCUAAUACACAUAAGCCAUAAUCAAAUAAAAAUCAAUUCUAGAGCUUUUUCAAGAAAAACUAGGCAAUAAGAAGAUGAGAUGGUAAUCUGGUUACACUAGGGAGGUCACAAGAUGAUGGUGUUACAACUAGGUUCCCAUUGGAAGACUAAAGGAUGAUGAAUUUAUUAAUGGCCCUUUUAUGCUCUAGAGCUUUCUUUUAUGGUCGACAAUAUUGGUCUAUCUAAUUAUACUAGAAAACCUCUUUUAUUAUUAUUAUUAUUUUUUAUUUCUACUUUAUUUAUUUAUUUAUUUUUUCAGAUUUCACAAAAUUAUCCGUGGAACUUUAUGCUUUUGAUUUUCUCUUUUUAAUUAAGGCAUCAUAGUUUGAAUUUUUUUUGCCCAAUCAUAGCAUUGUCCUAUCAUAUCAGGAACCAAUUGUACAUGAUUUUAUGACAAUUGGAAAAUUUUAUAAUGUAAAUUGGUCUUUGACACAUGCUAUUUAUUAACAAGAACUAUUUUCUCCAAUAGACAAAAGUGAUGAGUUUUGAGCAAAAGAACAUCCUAUGUACACAUGCAAAUCACUUCAAAAGAUGUCGAUUGCUGGUAAUUUAUAUUUGUAUCCGUUUUCUUCUUCUUUCUCUUCUGAUAGACCACUGAUGAUAAAGGAUCAUGUUGAAAAUAAGAAGAACUGAUACAUAGAAAUUUGUAAACUUGCCACUUCAAAACUAGAAUAAUUUGCCAAAUUGUUAACAAAACUAUUUCUUGUCAUUAUUGACUGGAUUAUAUGGAAAUUAAUAUGUAUAAUAAUUUUGACCAAACUACCUUCAUUGUAUAUAUAUACUAGGUUAUAACUUGUGGAAUCCACGGACGACAAAGUAAUAUAGCACACAUACUAUAACAAUAGUAAUCUUUUAUCCGAGAUUUGCAAACAUUUAUUUUUAUACAAAGUUUGAUAUGUUAAACUUAAUUGUAUCAAUAAUAUUCAUUAAUAUUUUACACUAAUAUGAUAACGUUCUGCAUGACAUCGUUUUUUCUGUUCAGCAUAUUAUUUUUCUGUAAACUUUCUUCUAAUAUUUUUCACUCAACAAAGUACUAGGUUGAACUGAAACAUAUAUAAAAAAUAUCACUAUGUGUGCAAAAAAAAAUUACAAAUUAUUUCAUAAUUUUUAUCUAUAGAGAAAUGAUGUUGAUAGUUAAUAUUCAACUAUAUUGACACUUAUGCAAGGCUGAGGAGGGCAUAGAGGUGUUCAAAAGUAGAAAGGGUGAUUGUGUACAGGCAAUGAAAAAUGAGCAUGUUUUAGCAAGGAAGCAUACAUAAGAGCUGAGAUUAUCACAUGAUGUGGAAGAGAUGAAGUCAAAACUCAGAGAACUUGAUUCAUUGCUUUCACAGAUCAACAUUGUUUUCUGUUCUUCAUGCUUCUAUUUAUUUAGAUUCAAUGGAACUAGACCAUGUUUUGUUGGGCCUUUAAGAAUGGAAUGAGUUUUCAUCAUAACUUUUGUAUAUUUAUAUAGAUUUUUAUGAUAUUUUUUUGCAGAAAAAGCUUAGAAAUUAUCAAAACACAAGAACAAAAGGACAGAUGGGAUUCCAAUUCCUAACAUCCUGUCAUAGAUAAUAAAACUAAUCAACAUGCCAUUUUAAACACUUAAUCAACGGCAUACUUUCCAAAGAAAUAUCUUCCAACACCCGCAAUAUGGGGAAUCUUCCCUAGUAAAAAAGUAAAUAUAUACAAAAGCUUAUCGGCUAAGUAAAAAGAA
rnacentral:lncRNA from 1 species